GAGGAAGUAAAGCACAUAUGGAGGUUUGCAGUAAGGUAAGCAGCAAGAAUAAAUGCAAACCAGAGAGCACCGCAAUUUUAGAGUGGUUCGGUCAAUCUUGACCUACAUCCACUUUUGGCUUCCUUCUCCGACGAGGUCACCGAUGUCCACUAGAGGCCUUCCUUCAAUAGGCGAAGGCCAACCACCCUUUUACAGUUUCACUCCUUUUAACGGGCUUAGGA
rnacentral:lncRNA from 1 species